rnacentral:lncRNA from 1 species
CCCGGCGGCCCGGGAAAAGCCGGAGGACCGAGGGCCGCCCACGCCCGGGCGGACGCAGAACCGCAGCAGGGCGCCAAGGGGAACAGCCGCGGGGCGAGGGAACAAGGGAGGCAAGGGAAGGCGGCAAAAGGGAGCCGGAACCGCGGGAAAAGGAGGGCGCGGAGGGCGGGGCACGGGGGGCCCGGGCCCGAACCCGGCGGCGGGCGGGGACGGCCGAGCGGCGGCCGCGGCGAGAGCGGGGCACCGCGGGCCGGCCGGGGGACGGACGGGGAACGGCCGCGGCGGGGGCCGGCCCCGGGCGGCGAACAGCCAACGCAGAACGGGGACGGACAAGGGAAGCCGACGGGGAAGGAAAACAAAGCAGGGCGAGGGCCCGGCGGAGGCGAACGCAAGGGAGGCGGCCCAGGGCGCGGAAGGCAAAGGGAAGAAAGGCAACCAAGCGCGGGGAAACGGCGGAGGAACGAGGACGCGCGG